GCACAAGCAGCGGAGCGUGUGGUUUAAUUCGUUGCUACACGAAGAACCUUACCUGGGUUUGACAUAUAGGUUGUAGGGAACUGAAAAGGGACCGACCCUUCGGGGAGCUUGCACAGGUGCUGCAUGGCUGUCGUCAGCUCGUGUCGUGAGAUGUUCGGUUAAGUCCGCUAACGAGCGCAACCCUCGCUGUGUGUUAUAUGUGUCACACGGGACUGCCGGUCUUAAGCCGGAGGAAGGUGGGGAUGAUGUCAAGUCAGCAUGGCCUUUAUAUCCUGGGCUACACACACGCUACAAUGGCCAACACAAUAGGUUGCUAAGCCGCGAGGUGGCGCCAAUCCAUAAAGUUGGUCUCAGUUCAGAUUGUAGGCUGCAACCCGCCUGCAUGAAGAUGGAGUUGCUAGUAACCGCAGGUCAGCUAUACUGCGGUGAAUACGUUCCCGGGGCUU
rnacentral:rRNA from 1 species